AUGCGGAGGACUUUCUGGUGGUGUUUGCUGCACACGAGUUCAGGAACAAAGCACUGGCGGGUGGCGGCACCGUUCAUUGAGCAUCUUGGCAUCAAGCUUUUCAUCAAGCCAUGGCUCAGGCAGGCGGGGGCGGCAUCUAGGGUGAUGCGGGUUCAGGUGGACAUCAUGAUCGAGGGGAUCCCGUCUCAUGCUUGGGCCAGGGACACGGCGGCAGAGUUGCUCGGGAGUGCGUGCUUGAUCGACAGUUUGGCGCCGCAGACAACCAGCAGGGAGGACUUGUCGUUGUUCAAGCUGAGAGCUUGGUGCGUCGAUCCGGACGACGUGCCGGCGUUCAGGAAGCUCUGGGUGCCGAAGCCGCCGGAGGUGAGCGUGGACCCCGCGGCGCGGCGUGCUUCAUUCCGCCAGCUGCUGGAGUACCCAGCGUUCAUCCACAUCGGAAGGGUGAGGGACUUCUCGCCACCGGAGCUUUGGAGGCGGGCAUCUGGGUCGGAUAGCAGGAGUGGUCAGAGCGGGCUGCCGGACAGCUCGGGCGGCUCGUUCCAGGGAGGAGAGUGGGUUGUGCAGCCUUGGACUCGCGGAGUGUGUGAUGAUCGGGGUGCUGGCCGACGAUCGCAUUUUCCGGCCAACGACGGUGGUGGCGGCGCGCAACGCAGGUCCUACCGGGCGGCGCUGGAAGGCAGGGUGGGGCCAUCUGCAUGGAGGCUUCCGCACAUGGGAUCGGGCGCUUUGGCCGUCACACCUGCCCCGGUGGUGGCCCACGACGACCGGACUGUUCGGGAGCAGGAGCGUUCAAACGGGCUUAUCCUAACGCAAAGUGAGAUGCGCACAGCGCUGGGGACAGCUGGCAAUCGGACCGUGCCCUCCAAGGGGCCAAUCCUGGAGAACAGCGAGCUGCCCACAGAGGUGGAGACAGCUGCCAAGUCGGUACGGGCGGAUCAGUGCAUCCCAGAGAUGGAGAGGACGUUCGCUCUGAUGCAUAUGGUGGACCAGGAGACCGGCGCUGAUCCCGACAGGAUGCGCGGUUGGAGCGGGCCCAGACUGAGCCGGUGCUGGUUCCGUCGAUGGCGACCAGGGACAGGGCCACAGAUGAGGACAAGGAGGCUGGAAGCGCUCAGAGGACAGCUAGGGAGGGGCCACCACCGCUAG
rnacentral:rRNA from 1 species